rnacentral:rRNA from 1 species
UACAGAGGUCUCAAGCGUUGUUUCGGAUUCAUUGGGCGUAAAGGGUGCGUAGGCGGCGUGGUAAGUCGGAUGUGAAAUCUCGGAGCUUAACUCCGAAACUGCAUUCGAUACUGCCGUGCUUGAGGACUGGAGAGGAGACUGGAAUUUACGGUGUAGCGGUGAAAUGCGUAGAUAUCGUAAGGAAGACCAGUGGCGAAGGCGGGUCUCUGGACAGUUCCUGACGCUGGAGGCAACGAAGGCCCAG